rnacentral:rRNA from 1 species
UACGUAGGGUGCAAGCGUUAUCCGGAAUUAUUGGGCGUAAAGAGCUCGUAGGCGGUUUGUCGCGUCUGCUGUGAAAACCGGAGGCUCAACCUCCGGCCUGCAGUGGGUACGGGCAAACUAGAGUGCGGUAGGGGAGAUUGGAAUUCCUGGUGUAGCGGUGGAAUGCGCAGAUAUCAGGAGGAACACCGAUGGCGAAGGCAGCUCUCUGGUACAUGAUUGACGCUGAGACGCGAAAGCGUGGGGAGCGAACAGG